UGGGGGAUAUUGCGCAAUGGAGGAAACUCUGACGCAGCAACGCCGCGUGAAGGAAGAAGGUCUUCGGAUUGUAAACUUUUGUCUUCGGGGACGAUAAUGACGGUACCCGAGGAGGAAGCCACGGCUAACUACGUGCCAGCAGCCGCGGUAAUACGUAGGUGGCGAGCGUUGUCCGGAAUUACUGGGUGUAAAGGGUGCGUAGGCGGGUUGACAAGUCAGAUGUGAAAUCCCAUGGCUUAACUGUGGGACUGCAUUUGAAACUGUUGGCCUUGAGUGCAGGAGAGGUAAGCGGAAUUCCCAGUGUAGCGGUGAAAUGCGUAGAUAUUGGGAGGAACGCCGGCGGUGUAGACGGCUUGCUAGACCAUAACUGACGCUGAGGCACGAAAGCGCGGGUAGCAAACA
rnacentral:rRNA from 1 species